UGGCCACAUCACGUUGAAACUUCAGUUCUCGUACGAUCACCGAAGUUAAGCAACGUCGAGCCUGGUCAGUACCUAGAUGAGUGACCGCUUGGGAAUACCAGGUGUUGUAA